rnacentral:rRNA from 1 species
AGAGUUUGAUCAUGGCUCAGAAUGAACGUUGGCGGCGUGGAUUAGGCGUGCAAGUCGUGCGAUGAAGCAGUGCUUGCACUGUGAAUUAGCGGCGAAAGGGAGAGUAACGCGUGGAUAUCUACCCUCGACUCUGGGAUAGCGGCGGGAAACUGCCGGUAAUACCGGAUAAUGUCCCCGGACCAAAGGUGUGAUUCCGGUUGAGGAUGAGUCCGCGUCCUAUUAGCUUGUUGGUGGGGUAAAAGCCUACCAAGGCAAAGAUGGGUACCGGGUGUGAGAGCAUGGCCCGGCUCACUGGGACUGAGACACUGCCCAGACACCUACGGGUGGCUGCAGUCGAGAAUCUUCGGCAAUGGGCGCAAGCCUGACCGAGCGACGCCGCGUGCGGGAUGAAGGCCUUCGGGUUGUAAACCGCUGUCAGUAGGGAGCAAAUGCAUAGGGGUACUCUCCUAUGUUUGAGCAAUCUGCAGAGGAAGUACGGGCUAAGUUCGUGCCAGCAGCCGCGGUAACACGAACCGUACGAACGUUAUUCGGAAUCACUGGGCUUAAAGAGUUCGUAGGCGGCUUGGAAGGUUGGGUGUGAAAUCCCACAGCUCAACUGUGGAACUGCGCCCAAAACCGUCAAGCUUGAGGGAGACAGGGGUGAGCGGAACAGAUGGUGGAGCGGU